GUCCCAGGUGUGCCCAGGUGUGUCCCAGCUGUGUCUCACCUGUCCCAGGUGUGCCCAGGUGUGUCCCAGCUGUGUCUCACCUGUCUCAGGUGUGUCUCACCUGUCCCAGCUGUGCCCAGGUGUGUCCCAGCUGUGUCUCACCUGUCCCAGCUGUGUCUCACCUGUCCCAGGUGUGUCUCCAGGUGUGUCUCACCUGUCCCAGCUGUGUCUCACCUGUCUCAGGUGUGUCCCAGGUGUGUCUCACCUGUCCAGGUGUGUCUCACCUUGAUGAAGGCGUAGCCAGCGCUGUUGUCGGUGAUGGUCAGCCCCAGCUGUGCCCAGGUGUCCCAGCUGUGUCCCAGCUGUGUCUCACCUAUCUCAGGUGUGUUUCCAGGUGUGUCUCACCUGUCCCAGGUGUGUCUCACCUGUCUCAGCUGUGUCCCAGGUGUGUCUCACCUGUCCCAGCUGUGUCUCACCUAUCUCAGGUGUGUCUCACCUGUCUCAGGUGUGUCUCCAGGUGUGUCUCACCUUGAUGAAGGCGUAGUCGGCGCCGUUGUCGGUGAUGGUCAGCCCCAGCUGUGCCCAGGUGUGUCUCACCUGUCCCAGGUGUGUCUCCAGGUGUGUCUCACCUGUCCCAGCUGUGUCUCACCUAUCUCAGGUGUGUCUCACCUAUCUCAGGUGUGUCUCCAGGUGUGUCUCACCUGUCCCAGCUGUGUCUCACCUAUCUCAGGUGUGUCUCCAGGUGUGUCUCACCUGUCCCAGCUGUGUCCCAGGUGUGUCUCACCUAUCUCAGGUGUGUCUCACCUGUCUCAGCUGUGUCCCAGGUGUGUCUCACCUAUCUCAGGUGUGUCUCACCUGUCCCAGGUGUGUCUCCAGGUGUGUCUCACCUGUCCCAGGUGUGUCUCACCUGUCUCAGGUGUGUCUCCAGGUGUGUCUCACCUGUCCCAGCUGUGUCUCACCUAUCUCAGGUGU
rnacentral:lncRNA from 1 species